rnacentral:tRNA from 1 species
GCAGAUGUGGUUCAACGAUUAGAAUACGGCCUUGCCAAGGCUGUGACGGGGGUUUGACUCCCCUCAUCUGCUCCA